UACGAAGGGGGCUAGCGUUGUUCGGAAUCACUGGGCGUAAAGCGCACGUAGGCGGGUUCUUAAGUCAGGGAUGAAAUCCCGAGGCUCAACCUCGGAACUGCCUUUGAUACUGGGAAUCUUGAGUUCGGGAGAGGUGAGUGGAAUUGCGAGUGUAGAGGUGAAAUUCGUAGAUAUUCGCAAGAACACCAGUGGCGAAGGCGGCUCACUGGCCCGAUACUGACGCUGAGGUGCGAAAGCGUGGGGAGCAAACAGG
rnacentral:rRNA from 1 species